rnacentral:ncRNA from 12 species
AUAAAUUGACAAGCAGGAAAGGCACCCUGCGCUCCUGUUAUAAGGAACCUGAUAUGAUGGAUACGCCGCCCAUCCAAUUUUA